UUUUUUUUUUUUCUUCAAGUGGAACGCAUUUUUUUGUAUUAUCCUUUAUUAAUAAAAGCCUUCGAGCACUUUAAAGAAGUAUAGUGCUACCUUCUAUUUCCCUUUUGCCAAACCUUCUCUUCCUUGAGUCCCUUUAAACACCUACACACCUAACCCACUCAAAGCUUCCUUGGGUACAAUUUGUCACCCUUGUUAGUCUAUUGUUGGACUAACUUAGUGUGGGAAGGCUAACUUAGUCUUGGGGGAAGACUAUGGCCAAACGAUUCGUAGGAGUUUUGAGUAGUGAAACUCUUAGUUCGUGACAAUUGUCAUGGAUGGCUUGUAUUGGCAUUUAUGAAUUGAACUAUGCUGAUGUUGUCGAACGACACUUGGUAAGGCGUUUUUGUGGAAAGUCAUGCUAUUGCGCAAGAGAGUUGCCCCUAGCCGGCUGUGCUCCCUAUCAAUCUAGCAUGAAAGUUGUCCCUAUGUGGGCUAUAACUAUUCUAGUUUGCUUUGUUGUGGAUCGCUCACUUGGGUGGCUUUGUGCCAAUGUUGUUACUCAAAGGUCAUUUGUUGCAUCUUAGCUUUCCCUUCUAUUAUACCUUGGUCGCAAUUGUGGCUAUCUGGCCAUGAUGUCAUGGUUGUCUGGUGCUAUGUUUUGGCCUUGUUGGGUUGUCCCUUGAUCGCAUGUUGUUCAUCAUUGCUUGAAAGCUACUAGAGGUGGGCAUUUUCCUUGGUUUCCAAAUUUAGUUGGGCUAGGCUGUUUCAUUUGUUUCAGCUAGGUUAUUUGUUUAGAUUCUUUAUGGACCCAUGUUUCUGGUAUUAUAUGUUGUAUUCUUAAGUUGUACCAAGCUUUUCUACAAUAAUUAUAUCACCAUCU
rnacentral:misc_RNA from 1 species